UAAGGAAUCUUCCACAAUGGGGGCAACCCUGAUGGAGCAAUACCGCGUGCAGGAUGAAGCGUUUCGGCGUGUAAACUGCUUUUAUCACCGAAGAUUAUGACUGUAGGUGAAGAAUAAGGACCGGCUAACUACGUGCCAGCAGCCGCGGUAAUACGUAGGGUCCAAGCGUUAUCCGGAGUUACUGGGCGUAAAGCGUCUGUAGGCGGCUUAAUAAGUCGGGUGCGAAAUCUUGCGGCUCAACCGCAUAGACUGUGCUCGAAACUAUUUAGCUAGAGGUAGGUAGAGGCAAGUGGAAUUUCUGGUGUAGGAGUGACAUCCGUAGAUAUCAGAAGGAACACCAAUGGCGAAGGCAGCUUGCUGGGCCUUACCUGACGCUCAGAGACGAAAGCGUGGGGAGCGAACGGG
rnacentral:rRNA from 1 species